GUGGAGUAGACUCGCCGGAAACGGAAAGGCAGGCGGCCUGAUUGAAAACGCGGCAACACUAGCCGGAAAAUCGCGGCGGCAGUCGUCGGAGAAUGACUGAGAAGACAGGUGCGUGCAGCACCAAUUAGGAGGAAUGAAGGAAGAGAGAAAAGAAGGGGAAAGGAAAGGAAGAGGAGAGUUGACGCGAGAGCACGAGAAUUCGGGAGAGAAAGUGAUGAGAAAUUGAGGGAGAUGAAAUAGAGAAAGAGCAAGUGGGGAAGAAAUAAAAGAACUGCA
rnacentral:lncRNA from 1 species